GUCCCUUUUCCCUCUUACCCUUCGUCCUUUUUUUUCUACUUCCUCCCUCCUUUUCUCUUUCCACUUCCUUUCUCCCCUCCCCCUCCUACUCUCUUCUUCUUUCCUCUCCCACCUCCUCCUUUUUCCCAUUUCCCUUCCCUCUCUUCCUCCCCCUUCCUUCUUCUUGAUACACACCUCUACCCACUUAUCCACCUUCCAACCCUUAACCCUGGAGGAGGACACGUGGGAGAUUUGGCCCCAGGGAUUUGUCCGGUUUUUUGCCUCCAGAACUUUGAGCUGGGGAGACACUUAGUACCAUAUCCUUGGUGAGGAGAAUAAUGAUGAUGAUUCAAGACCCCCAAACUUGUGCCUCUGUGUCAAAACAGAAAAUAGAGAAAGUUAAAGAAUUCCAAAUGUCUUCAAGGAGUUCUUUUUGUCUGCAGGGAACACAGUGACUCAAUAGACAUAGCUAGGGCCCAGAAAAUUAUCACCUUUCAACAAGCAGCUUUUCGAGCUUGUGUAGGCUGGUCCAAGAAAGGUAUUUUUACAGAUAAAUAAGUCCUCUGGUCAAUGCUCAGCUUUCUAGGCUGGAAAGAUCUUGUCAGAGCUAGUAGUCUACAUAACUUUGUAGAAUUCAGGGUUAACUCAGUACCUUCCUUGACUGGUAACCAAGACAGAAAACAGAACUUUAUUCUAUUGUAGAAUCUCAACUAGUAAAAAGCUAAUAUGCAUAUUCUUUAAAAAAGAAAAUUUUGGUUGCAGGUAAGAAGGUACAGGGACUUUCCAUCAGCACAUUCCAUGCAUUUUUAUACCAUUCCAGAGACUAAGCACUGCCAGUAUGAAAACCAAUGAAGGAAUGUGAUAACAAGCAGUUAGGGAUGUACUGGUAAAUGUUAAACAAUGAACUCUCAGAAAACAGGACACACUUUAAACUUUAAUCUCCAUUAUUAGUAUUGUCUCCCUCACUUUCUUAAAUCUAGACAAUUGACAAAACAAUAAAUCAAACCUUGAUUUGUAAUGUUUGCCA
rnacentral:lncRNA from 1 species